AGCUCCAAUAGCGUAUAUUAAAGUUGUUGCGGUUAAAAAGCUCGUAGUUGGAUUUCAGCCAAGGACGACCGGUCCUGCUUCGGUGGGUACCUGGUUUGGCCGCGGCUUCUCUUGGUGUGACUGUACGCGGCUAAAACCGCUGCACGAGCUCCAGGGCUUUUACUUUGAGGAAUUAGAGUGUUUCAAGCAGGCGUCUGCCU
rnacentral:rRNA from 1 species